rnacentral:rRNA from 1 species
UACGUAGGGGGCAAGCGUUGUCCGGAUUUAUUGGGCGUAAAGAGCGUGUAGGCGGCUUUACAGGUCCGUUGUGAAAACUCGAGGCUCAACCUCGAGACGCCGGUGGAAACCGUAAAGCUAGAGUCCGGAAGAGGAGAGUGGAAUUCCUGGUGUAGCGGUGAAAUGCGCAGAUAUCAGGAAGAACACCCGUGGCGACGGCGGCUCUCUGGGACGGUACUGACGCUGAGACGCGAAAGCGUGGGGAGCGAACAGG